GGGGAGCAAGAGAAGCUUAUGUUCUUCCUCGUCACCUUCAUUUUCGCAACCUUUUGGCAGCCCUCACUAAACUGAUCAUAACUCUCUGCUCACAGCUCCGAUUGAGCUUGUUUAUUGAUGGAGAUAAGCGCAUUUGAAGUUGAUCAAUGGAUGCUGAAAAUAGGUGUAAAGUGGAAUACGGGUUUGAUGAAUUUGGAGUUGAAGUUUUGGUCAAGUUAGGAGCUCAAUUGUAGCAUGUUCAUCAUCCAAAGCUCCAUUGAUGCAAGGUGCAGUUUAGUAGCGUUUGAUCAGUAGCAGGUUUGGACUGAAGACUUGGAAGUGAUGACGGCUCGGAGAUCUCGUCUGAUCUCAUCUUCCCGCUGUGCAGAUCCAUCGAAGACACAUUUUUUGUAAUUCUUAAUAGGAUUUCAUGUUGUAUUUUAUAUGGAUCUUUCUAUAACUAUGGCUUUUGUAUGUACUCAAUAUCAAUUUUAACGUUUCAUGCAUAAUAUACUAGUCAGUUAUGUAUGGGGUGUUACAGUUGGUAUUACGGUUGUUGAGAUGAAUACGUGCAAUGUCAAAAAACACUACCUUCUUGUGUUAUUCUCUAAAAAUAUAGGGGGAAGUCUGGGAACAACACGACCUGUUUCAGGGAACACGACAUGCCCGUGUUGUCCCAUGAUCUGAUGUAUGGGCAAGGCGCUUCAAGCUAACAUGGCAUGUGUCAACGGACACGACUCAACCGUGUUUCCCUCAGGCUUUGUGCAUGGAAAGACAUUCUUUUUGCAUGAUUUUUGAUUUUUUUUCGCUUUAGUUUAGUCUGAACUCCCUUAUUAUCUGGAAACAAUAAGAACACACCAAAAUCGCAUAAAAGCAAAAUAAAACAAGGAAAGAAUACAUAAUAAAUGCUGCUAAACACAUACAAUAAGCGAUAUGAAUACUACUUAUCAACCUCCCCCAAACUAGAAUUGUUGC